CAAGAUUUUCCUUUGUCAUAAUUUAGAUUUUAGUUGCAGUUCUCCAUUCUUUGGCAUUUCUCCAACUUUCAGAAAUGGUUACCAAUUGGCAUUAACGAUUUAGAAGGUACUUCACAUGGGUUUUGGUAAGACAGUUGUCAGGAACUGAAGCACAUCCCCCUCUGUGGGAAUUUAGUUGGCUAAACUGGGGAAUUUAGCUGGCUAAGUCCAAGGUCAGCUCCUUUGCUGAUAUGAGCUGUGAAGAAAGCUAAAAGCAAAGCUGCCCCUCCUUUCCCUUGGGAGCUGCUUUUGAGCUGAGGCUCCAUUGCUGGCCCCUGUACAGCAGUUACAUCUGUGCCCAAUCUCCUGAUUCCAUGAGUCUGGCCCAGACCCAGGCCCAGGCCCAGACCCAGACCCAGACCCAGACCCACCGGCUCAGCUUCUUGACUUGACCUUGGACCUGCCUCAUCACUAUGGAACUUGCUAGGUGGUUGCUGAACUGUACCUGAUCCUGGUCGCUGUCUCUGCGCCCGAUCCUGACCUGAACUUGUGGGUCUGCGUCCUGGCUCCUUGCUGGUGAGGUCACCGUUGGUGCCUGCCCUGCUACUGGGCUCGGCUCCCGAUUCACCUUCUCUUGCGGAGCAGCCAGCCCUCGCUGCUGCCUGACAACUGUGGAGCACAAGUUAUCCAGAAAUCUAUUCUUGAGCAAAUGCCAGUGUAGAAGGUUGGACUACAUGACUCCUGAGGUCUAUCUGUAAUAUUUUACGAUUUUACGAUUCAUUUUGACUUUAAAGGUGUUACCUGAGUCAAAAGGACAUAUCACAUGCUAAAGGCAGAAUCCUUCUGACAGCAUGAUCAUCACCGUCCUCUGAGUGCUGCAGAGUAGCUAUGCCAUGCAUUAAAUAGAUGAUUGGAUCUUUCUAAUGCCAAUGCAUCUUUAUGGGUGAGGGUUAUUUGUAUUUAUAGCAUCCAUAAAGCAAUUUAUAGUCC
rnacentral:lncRNA from 1 species